rnacentral:rRNA from 1 species
UACAGAGGGGGCCAGCGUUAUUCGGAAUUAUUGGGCGUAAAGGGCGCGUAGGCGGCUUUGCGUGUCUUUCGUGAAAUCCCUCGGCUCAACUGAGGACGUGCGGAAGAAACUGCAGGGCUGGAGUCCGGGAGAGGAGGGUGGAAUUCCCAGUGUAGCGGUGAAAUGCGUAGAUAUUGGGAGGAACACCAGUGGCGAAGGCGGCUUACUGGACCGGUUCUGACGCUGAGGCGCGAAAGCGUGGGGAGCAAACGGG